CCACAGAGAAGAGACAUUAUCUUUAGGUUUACAGCAUGGCAAGUGUUGGAGUACAGCCUAAAAACAUAGGCUUCAUUGAAAGGAGGAAAAGCUUUUGAGAAUCAAAGUAAAAACUCUGAAAGAGGCUGCACAUAACAACAGAUUUGAAAGACAGUGGAAGACAUAGACUGCCCUAAGUAAGCGUAACCUGGACUGGAAGAGACGGGAAGAAGGUUGGCUUACAUUUUGUGCAGAGGUAUUUGGGAGAAUGCUCUCAAGGGAUACAGCUUUGGUAAAGCAAGGAAGACAAGAUGGGGCAAAGGGUGAAGCUGACCUACAUUGCUGCUGCACCUGAACUUCAUUCAGCCUUACAGGGCACUUUGGACCAGGCACGACACUUCAGAGUUAUCUCAAACUGAGGCAUGGGGCUGGGACUUUGUGUCCCGCCUCAAUCAGUCAUUGGCCAUAGAAUUCCUCCUAGAGCAGGUACAAUUUUAGAUGAGGCAGUUCCCUGAGGCUGAGGGCAAUUUCAAUGAAGAGUGUAACUAUAAACCACUGGAUGCCAGUAUUUCCAGCACCGUAGAAUAAACAUGCCAGUCCUGAUGAGAAAAGUCAGUAACAAAUCUCAGUAUACAUUUCAAACUUCC